rnacentral:sRNA from 1 species
ACCAUCCUGACGCCAGCUGCGUGGAACGCGUCAACUAGGUCGAGAUCGGUUUCAAAUGGUCCAGUUCCCUGGAAAUGGAAGAGAAU